rnacentral:rRNA from 1 species
UACGAAGGGUGCAAGCGUUACUCGGAAUUACUGGGCGUAAAGCGUGCGUAGGUGGUUCGUUAAGUCUGUCGUGAAAGCCCCGGGCUCAACCUGGGAAUGGCGAUGGAUACUGGCGAGCUAGAGUGCGGUAGAGGAGAGUGGAAUUCCCGGUGUAGCAGUGAAAUGCGUAGAUAUCGGGAGGAACACCUGUGGCGAAAGCGGCGCACUGGACCAUAACUGACGCUGAGGCGCGAAAGCUAGGGGAGCAAACAGG